AAAAAGUUAAAAGUUACUAAUAGUGCAUAAACAUAAAAAGUACAGUAAUGGAACUAUAUAAAACUACAAAACCUAACAGAUUUAAAUAAUCCUACUUUUUGCAUUACGGGUGUGCGAGUUCAUACUAUAAUUACCCGUUAACGUGUAAUGUAAAGAAGCAAUAUAAAACAAACACAUAAAAAGAAAAGAAAGGAUUCCUUCCUUUUCUGCUUUAAAGUAUGCAAGGAG
rnacentral:rRNA from 1 species